GACAGAGGGGAGGCAAGCGUUGCUCGGAAUCAGCUGGGGCGUAAAGGGCGCGUAGGCGGGAUGGCAAGUCAGUCGUGAAAGUCCUCCUCGGGCUCAACCGAGAAACGUCGGCUGAUACUGCCGUUCUUGAGGGAUGCAGAGGAGACUGGAAUUCCCGGUGUAGCGGUGAAAGUGUGUAGAGAGUCGGGAGGAACACCGGUGGCGAAGGCGGGUCUCUGGGCAUUUCCUGACGCUGAGGCGGCGAAAGCGUGGGGAGCAAACAGG
rnacentral:rRNA from 1 species